GAUGAACGCUAGCUACAGGCUUAACACAUGCAAGUCGAGGGGCAGCACAGUGUAGCAAUACAUGGGUGGCGACCGGCGCACGGGUGCGUAACGCGUAUCCAACCUUCCCGAUACUCAGGGAUAGCCUUCCGAAAGGGAGAUUAAUACCUGAUGGUGUUUCACUUUCGCAUGUUAUUGAAACUAAAGAUUUAUCGGUAACGGAUGGGGAUGCGUGACAUUAGAUAGUAGGCGGGGUAACGGCCCACCUAGUCUACGAUGUCUAGGGGGUUCUGAGAGGAAGGUCCCCCACACUGGAACUGAGACACGGUCCAGACUCCUACGGGAGGCAGCAGUGAGGAAUAUUGGUCAAUGGUCGGAAGACUGAACCAGCCAAGUAGCGUGAAGGAUGAAGGUUCUAUGGAUUGUAAACUUCUUUUAUACGGGAAUAAAACCUCCCACGUGUGGGAGCUUGUAUGUACCGUAUGAAUAAGCAUCGGCUAACUCCGUG
rnacentral:rRNA from 1 species